GAUGGUUGUUGGUCAUUUAUGGAGGUUGUCUGUGGUUUGUUAGUAUCCAUGGUCAAAGAAGAAACAAAAGAAAAAAAAUUAGGUUUAGGGAUCUUCCUAAUUCCUCUCACUCCUCUAUUGUUUCUCUCAUAUCUAGUGUUAGGAGGUAAAACCAGGGGAAAAGGUGGAAAUAUAAAGAACUCAAAGUAGCAAAGACUAGCCACCAGUAUCUACCACCAAUGCUCUUCAAUAUAUUCUGUAAGGAAUAAAAUCACCUCAGCCGAUUGGCAUUUCUGUUGACAUAUGGAGGUCUGCAGUGGGAUGCUCUGGCAUUGAGAAUUGCCAUGCACUGAUGGCUGCUGGUGCUGCGGAUUGUUAGCAUCCACAAUCUUCAUUGAGCUAUACAGACUAUACAUGACUUAAUAUCUUACUAUGUUCCAAAGCUUGGAGCAAAAGGAAAUACAAACACUGAAAGUAUGAAACUAUAAAUAUCAUAAAUAUCAUAAAGAAAACAGCUAAAGAAGGAAUUGUAUUUCAUCUUGAUGUGAACUGAAAUGGACGUGGAUAUACCCUGGAGUCGGUUAUUAAUUCAGACAGAGGAGGCCACCAUCAACUGAUCUUUACAACUGAUCUUUGAAGGACAGGAGCGUGAAGCUAACUUCGGUUUUACUUGGCUAAAGUGUUUCAUUGACAAGAA
rnacentral:lncRNA from 1 species